CUGAUGUACAAAUAUAUGCAUAGUGCCAAAAUGUCACGUUUUUACAAUUUGUUUUUUUAAUCAAACAUUUAUUUUUGUGAAUGAACUGCAGUUUGCAAUAACAAUCAGAGACAUGACAGUAAAAUCAAAUAAAACAGGAUUCAGAAAUGUUGGUCCACUCCAGAAAAGUCACAAUGACUGUAGUGCAACUAAACGGUAGUGCAAAUCAACAUUUAGAAAUUAGACAUUUUCAAAUGUAUUUCUUAAAUGUAUAAACACUUAAAAUACAUAAGUAAAAUGGUAUGCACUCUAAAAAAUCUGGGGUUAUUUUUUCUACCCAAAUGCUGGGUUGAGCCAUUUGGGUAAUUUUUUUGGGUUAUUUUUGCAGUCUUGGGUAGUUUUUUGGGUAGUUGUAUGUAACCCCACCACUGGGUUAUUUUCUGGGUAAUUUUCACUGAGAGUGGAAUCAAUACACCCCCUUCCCCACCCAGACUCAACAACCCAGCUCAUUGGGUCAAAUCAACUCGGCGCAGAUUCAGGUGCAGCACACGGGCUGACUGAAUUUGAGGUGGAUGCAACGCACACUGAUAUUUGGAGAAAUAAGGUUCGUAUCAACAUAUUUAUUCAUAUAACAUAUAUUUUUAAACCUAUUUAUACACGUAUCAUAAUACCGAGGGCUAUAUAAAGACGUAAGUGCCAUUACAUUCAGUUUUACAUGGCAUAUACGCCGCCAGCUUCGUUCGUUUAGGUUGGCUUGUUUGAUAUGGCCGUUGGAUAGUAAAUACGUUUUCUACUGUUUUUGUUUAAUGUUUUAAACGUCCCCUUUGGACAAAGCCUUAAGUUUUUUUCUUAACUAACGUUAUAUGACGACAUUUACGUUACUUCAAAGCCCAGUUAACUGUUAACUUAAAACGAGAUUAAUAUAAGUUAAAGUAAAUGCAUUCUUUGCUUUUUCAGAUUAUUAAAUUGAGAUUUUUGACAAUUACAGCCCGUAACAAAUCUCUGGUAAUUAAUUUCUGAAAACCAUUUUUUGUACACGAACAGUUAAAGCAGCCCAUCCCCCGCUGUACAGCAGUGCUGCUGGGUCAAAACAAACCCAAUUGCUGGAUCAUCUGUCGCGGGGAUUUUGGAUCGUCAGAACCAGAAAUACAGCAGGACUUUACAAGCAGACAUUCUUCAGCGGUUCUUUUCUGGUGAAAUAAAGGUGGUCUGAGUUUCCAUGAGUUUCCUCGGCUAACUACCCCAGGCAUGAUUGCACAAGACUUUUACACAUUACACCAGGAUGCAGCUCCAAAACUCUUCGAGAAAUGGCUCCCUUGAUAUACCGAUAGGAUCUUGCAGCGCUUCCAUGUUCAGUUGAGGAGAUGACACAAGGUAAAGUUUCUCCACUAUUUUGAUAUUAACGGCCAGAUUUACUAAUAGCAAUUUAAUAAAGACACCCACUGAUAAAUUAAUGAAGAAAAUUUUUGGCAAUAAUUGCUGUUGGGAGAUUUAGCACUUUCUCCACUCAUCUUCAUUUAUUUGAAAUGCCAGACAGUUAACCGACAUUAUCUGAACAUAUUGCUUUUCAAUUUCUGCUGCUACACAUGCAAACGGAUAUCUUGCAUUAAAGCUGCUCCCUGUUUUGCUUCCACCUCCACCCUUCAAAACUGCCAGAAAAAGUCCGGCCCAGCAUUGAUGAUGGCAAAAAAACUUUCAUCGACAUUCAGCCUGUUGGAACAAAUAUGAUGGAGUACCUUCAGCAGGCUGAAGCAUCAGGACCUUAUUUCCUGUCACUUGAAAAUGGACACAUGAGUCCCAGGCAUUCGUCAUCCUUGGAGGAGAAACUUUGGACAAGGCACUUAGAUUGGGGUAGUAGAAGCACUACAUUCUUGCAAGUAAAUGACAAGAGUUUUUUUGGAUAGACUGGGUUUCAGGUACAGGAGUUAUCAUUUUAGGUUUUUUUUACAGACUUAAAGGUGCUCUAAGCGAAUCUGUGUG